GGAUGAUUACUCUAGAGAUAACAGAGGUGAUGUUGGUUCUUAGGUUCGUGAGGCUUCCAUGGAUGGCCUUGAGAGAUGCACAUAUAUUCUAUAUAAAAGAGGACUCAAGGACUUCUCAAGCAAGUCAGAACAAAUGGAACUUAGAUCUGUUCCUCAGUUGGUAUAUCUGUAAUGGUCAUAGCUUGGGCAUGUGCCCUUGGUCUUUCUACUCCAACUGCCGUCACGGUUGGCACAGGAGUUGGUACUUCUUGAGGUGUCUUGAUUAAAGGUGGGCAGACUUUGGGAGGUGCACAAAAGGUGAAAUAUAUAGUGUUAGAUAAAACAGGACCUGAUAAUGGGCAAACCAGUUGUUGUAAA